rnacentral:rRNA from 1 species
UACGUAGGGGGCUAGCGUUGUCCGGAAUCAUUGGGCGUAAAGAGCGCGUAGGCGGCCAGAUAAGUCCGGUGUGAAAGUCAAAGGCUCAACCUUUGAAUGCCGCUGGAAACUGUCUGGCUAGAGUCCGGGAGGGGCGAGUGGAAUUCCUGGUGGAGCGGUGAAAUGCGUAGAGAUCGGAAAGAACACCAACGGCGAAAGCACUCUGCUGGGCCGACACUGACACUGAGAGACGAAAGCUAGGGGAGCGAAUGGG